UACGUAGGGCGCAAGCGUUGUCCGGAAUUAUUGGGCGUAAAGAGCUCGUAGGCGGUCUGUCGCGUCUGCUGUGAAAACCUAAGGCUCAACCUUGGGCUUGCAGUGGGUACGGGCAGACUAGAGUGCGGUAGGGGUGACUGGAAUUCCUGGUGUAGCGGUGGAAUGCGCAGAUAUCAGGAGGAACACCGAUGGCGAAGGCAGGUCACUGGGCCGCAACUGACGCUGAGGAGCGAAAGCAUGGGGAGCGAACAGG
rnacentral:rRNA from 1 species